AACGCGAAGAACCUUACCCGGGCUUGAACUACGGAUGGUAAGUUCCUAGAAACAGGAGCUGACCCGCAAGGGAGUCCGCAGAGGUGCUGCAUGGUUGUCGUCAGCUCGUGUCGUGAGAUGUUGGGUUAAGUCCCGCAACGAGCGCAACCCCUACUCGAUGUUGCUAAUCCCGCAAGGGAUGCACUCUUCGAGAACUGCCUUCGAUAAGAAGGAGGAAGGUGGGGAUGACGUCAAAUCCUCAUGGCCCUUAUGUCCGGGGCAACACACGUGCUACAAUGGUCGGUACAACGGGAAGCAAUACCGCAAGGUGGAGCAAACCCCUUAAAGCCGGCCCCAGUUCAGAUCGUGGGCUGCAACUCGCCCACGUGAAGGUGGAAUCGCUAGUAAUCGCUGAUCAGCAGGCAGCGGUGAAUACGUUCCCGGGCCUUGUA
rnacentral:rRNA from 1 species